GUCCAGACUCCUACGGGAGGCAGCAGUGGGGAAUAUUGCACAAUGGGGGAAACCCUGAUGCAGCGACGCCGCGUGAGCGAAGAAGUAUUUCGGUAUGUAAAGCUCUAUCAGCAGGGAAGAAAAAAAUGACGGUACCUGAGUAAGAAGCACCGGCUAAAUACGUGCCAGCAGCCGCGGUAAUACGUAUGGUGCAAGCGUUAUCCGGAUUUACUGGGUGUAAAGGGAGCGUAGGCGGCGCGUUAAGUCUGAUGUGAAAACCCGAGGCUCAACCUCGGGUGUGCAUUGGAAACUGGCGGGCUGGAGUGCCGGAGAGGUAAGCGGAAUUCCUAGUGUAGCGGUGAAAUGCGUAGAUAUCUGGAGGAACAUCAGUGGCGAAGGCGACUAUCUGGCACAUAACUGACGCUGAGGAGCGAAAGCGUGGGUAGCAAACAGGAUUAGAUACCCGAGUAC
rnacentral:rRNA from 1 species